rnacentral:rRNA from 1 species
UACAGAGGUCUCAAGCGUUGUUCGGAUUCAUUGGGCGUAAAGGGUGCGUAGGCGGCGCGGUAAGUCGGGUGUGAAAUCUCGGAGCUUAACUCCGAAACUGCAUUCGAUACUGCCGUGCUUGAGGACUGGAGAGGAGACUGGAAUUUACGGUGUAGCGGUGAAAUGCGUAGAUAUCUGGAGGAACACCGGUGGCGAAGGCGGCAUCCUGGACCGACAUUGACGCUGAUGAGCGAAAGCUAGGGGAGCAAACGGGG